UGCCAGCAGCCGCGGUAAUACGGAGGGUGCGAGCGUUAUCCGGAAUCACUGGGUUUAAAGGGUGCGCAGGCGGCCAAUUAAGUCAGGAGUGAAAGACCCCCGCUCAACGGGGGAGUUGCUCUUGAUACUGGUUGGCUCGGAUUAUGAUGAGGUCGGCGGAAUGUGUCAUGUAGCGGUGAAAUGCAUAGAUAUGACAUGGAACACCAAUUGCGUAGGCAGCCGGCUGGACAUAUAUCGACGCUGAGGCACGAAAGCGUGAGGAGCGAACAGGAUUAGAUA
rnacentral:rRNA from 1 species